UGGGUAACCUGCCCAUCAUAAGGGGAUAACACUUGGAAACAGGUGCUAAUACCGUAUAACAAAUCAAAACCGCAUGGUUUUGAUUUGAAAGGCGCUUUCGGGUGUCGCUGAUGGAUGGACCCGCGGUGCAUUAGCUAGUUGGUGAGGUAACGGCUCACCAAGGCCACGAUGCAUAGCCGACCUGAGAGGGUGAUCGGCCACAUUGGGACUGAGACACGGGCCAAACUCCUACAGGAGGCAGCAGUAGGGAAUCUUCGGCAAUGGACGAAAGUCUGACCGAGCAACGCCGCGUGAGUGAAGAAGGUUUUCGGAUCGUAAAACUCUGUUGUUAGAGAAGAACAAGGAUGAGAGUAACUGUUCAUCCCUUGACGGUAUCUAACCAGAAAGCCACGGCUAACUACGUGCCAGCAGCCGCGGUAAUACGUAGGUGGCAAGCGUUGUCCGGAUUUAUUGGGCGUAAAGCGAGCGCAAGCGGUUUCUUAAGUCUGAUGUGAAAGCCCCCGGCUCAACCGGGGAGGGUCAUUGGAAACUGGGAGACUUGAGUGCAGAAGAGGAGAGUGGAAUUCCAUGUGUAGCGGUGAAAUGCGUACAUAUAUGGAGGAACACCAGUGGCGAAGGCGGCUCUCUGGUCUGUAACUGACGCUGAGGCUCGAAAGCGUGUGGAGCAAACAGGAUUAGAUACCCUGG
rnacentral:rRNA from 1 species